rnacentral:rRNA from 1 species
AUGUACAUCAUUGGAUACAUCAUGAGUUACAUUUUCAGAAUGUACAUGUUUGGUAUUGUAGAUGUAGACUGUUUUCUCUAUACACUUGGUCAAAGUUGGCAAAGUUUGACUUCCUCAAAAAUCUAUAGACACUACAUUAUGGAAUGGAGGGAGUAUCACCAGCAGCAGGCAACCAACUGCCACAAGAGUAGGAGCAGUAGGAGUAGCACAAUGCCCGCUGUGAGUAGGAUGGCUACUACCGAAACCAGCCGGCCGCAGAUGAUGUUCAUCUGGAGACUGGAGCGUAUGCAUUGCGACGCCCACGAGUGGAGAUAA